rnacentral:rRNA from 1 species
UACGUAGGGUGCGAGCGUUGUCCGGAAUUACUGGGCGUAAAGAGCUCGUAGGUGGUUUGUCGCGUUGUUCGUGAAAACUCACAGCUUAACUGUGGGCGUGCGGGCGAUACGGGCAGACUGGAGUACUGCAGGGGAGACUGGAAUUCCUGGUGUAGCGGUGGAAUGCGCAGAUAUCAGGAGGAACACCGGUGGCGAAGGCGGGUCUCUGGGGCAGUAACUGACGCUGAGGAGCGAAAGCCGUGGGGAGCGAACAGG